GUACUGCUGAAGAGUCCCAAAAUAGGACGGAGGAAACAGUUGUCCAGUAC
rfam:Trichobilharzia regenti genome assembly, scaffold: TRE_scaffold0016295